rnacentral:piRNA from 1 species
UCAUCGGGUUUGUCUCAUUGA